CCUACGGGUGGCAGCAGUGAGGAAUAUUGGUCAAUGGGCGCGAGCCUGAACCAGCCAAGUCGCGUGAGGGAAGACGGUCCUAUGGAUUGUAAACCUCUUUUGUCGGGGAGCAAAAGACGCCACGCGUGGCGUUCCGAGAGUACCCGAAGAAAAAGCAUCGGCUAACUCCGUGCCAGCAGACGCGGUAAUACGGAGGAGGCGAGCGUUAUCCGGAUUUAUUGGGUUAAAAGGGGGCGCAGGCGGAAGAUCAAGGCAGCGGUAAAAUUGAGAGGCUCAACCUCUUCGAGCCGUUGAAACUGGUGGUCUUGAGUGAGCGCGAAGUAGGCGGAAUGCGUGGUGUAGCGGUGAAAUGCAUAGAUAUCACGCAGAACUCCGAUUGCGAAGGCAGCAUACCGGCGCGCAACUGACGCUCAUGCACGAAAGUGUGGGUAUCGAACAGGAUUAGAUACCCCAGUAGUC
rnacentral:rRNA from 1 species